rnacentral:rRNA from 1 species
UACGUAGGGCGCAAGCGUUAUCCGGAAUUAUUGGGCGUAAAGAGCUCGUAGGCGGUUUGUCGCGUCUGCCGUGAAAGUCCGGGGCUCAACUCCGGAUCUGCGGUGGGUACGGGCAGACUAGAGUGCAGUAGGGGGAGACUGGAAUUCCUGGUGUAGCGGUGAAAUGCGCAGAUAUCAGGAGGAACACCGAUGGCGAAGGCAGGUCUCUGGGCUGUAACUGACGCUGAGGAGCGAAAGCGUGGGGAGCGAACAGG